rnacentral:rRNA from 1 species
UACAGAGGGUGCGAGCGUUGUUCGGAAUUACUGGGCGUAAAGCGCGUGUAGGCGGCGGGAUAAGUCGAAUGUGAAAGCCCUCAGCUUAACUGAGGAAGUGCAUUCGAUACUGUUUCGCUUGAAUGCCGGAGGGGAUGGCGGAAUUCCCGGUGUAGAGGUGAAAUUCGUAGAUAUCGGGAGGAACACCUGUGGCGAAGGCGGCCAUCUGGACGGCGAUUGACGCUGAGACGCGAAAGCGUGGGUAGCAAACAGG